rnacentral:rRNA from 1 species
GACGAACGCUGGCGGCGUGCCUAAUACAUGCAAGUAGAACGCACAGGAUGCACCGUAGUUUACUACACCGUAUUCUGUGAGUUGCGAACGGGUGAGUAACGCGUAGGUAACCUGCCUGGUAGCGGGGGAUAACUAUUGGAAACGAUAGCUAAUACCGCAUAAGAACAUUUACUGCAUGGUAGAUGUUUAAAAGGUGCAAAUGCAUCACUACCCAUGGACCUGCGUUGUAUUAGCUAGUAGGUGAGGUAACGGCUCACCUAGGCGACGAUACAUAGCCGACCUGAGAGGGUGAUCGGCCACACUGGGACUGAGACACGGCCCAGACUCCUACGGGAGGCAGCAGUAGGGAAUCUUCGGCAAUGGGGGGAACCCUGACCGAGCAACGCCGCGUGAGUGAAGAAGGUUUUCGGAUCGUAAAGCUCUGUUGUUAAGGAAGAACGAGUGUGAGAAUGGAAAGUUCAUACUGUGACGGUACUAA